UUAACCCAUAGACUGCGUUUGAAACUGUUGAGCUUGAGUGAAGUAGAGGUAGGCGGAAUUCCCGGUGUAGCGGUGAAAUGCGUAGAGAUCGGGAGGAACACCAGUGGCGAAGGCGGCCUACUGGGCUUUAACUGACGCUGAGGCACGAAAGCAUGGGUAGCAAACAGGAUUAGAUACCCUGGUAGUCCAUGCCGUAAACGGUGAUUACUAGGUGUGGGGGGUCUGACCCCUUCCGUGCCGGAGUUAACACAAUAAGUAAUCCACCUGGGGAGUACGACCGCAAGGUUGAAACUCAAAGGAAUUGACGGGGGCCCGCACAAGCAGUGGAGUAUGUGGUUUAAUUCGAAGCAACGCGAAGAACCUUACCAGGUCUUGACAUCCUAGGAACGGCUAAGAGAUUAGCUGGUGCCUUUCGGGGAAUCUAGAGACAGGUGGUGCAUGGUUGUCGUCAGCUCGUGUCGUGAGAUGUUGGGUUAAGUCCCGCAACGAGCGCAACCCUUGUGAUUAGUUGCUACGCAAGAGCACUCUAAUCAGACUGCCGUUGACAAAACGGAGGAAGGUGGGGACGACGUCAAAUCAUCAUGCCCUUUAUGACCUGGGCUACACACGUACUACAAUGGUCGCUAACAAAGUGAAGCAAUACCGCGAGGUGGAGCAAAACACAAAAAGCGAUCUCAGUUCGGAUUGUAGGCUGCAACCCGCCUACAUGAAGUUGGAAUUGCUAGUAAUCGCGGAUCAGAAUGCCGCGGUGAAUACGUUCCCGGGCCUUGUACACUCCGCCC
rnacentral:rRNA from 1 species